UACGUAGGUGGCAAGCGUUGUCCGGAUUUAUUGGGCGUAAAGGGCGCGCAGGCGGUCCGUUAAGUCCGAGGUGAAAUCUCCCGGCUCAACUGGGAGGGGUCUUCGGAUACUGGCGGACUUGAGGAGUGCAGAGGUGAGUGGAAUUCUCGGUGUAGUGGUGAAAUGCGUAGAUAUCGAGAGGAACACCAGUGGCGAAGGCGGCUCACUGGGCACCACCUGACGCUGAGGCGCGAAAGCUAGGGGAGCAAACAGG
rnacentral:rRNA from 1 species